GGCGGUUCUCGGGUGAUGCACCCUGGAAUCGGGCUCCCUCCUCUCUGGUUCCGGGUGCAUCACCUGAGAACUGCA
rfam:Myotis brandtii contig269695, whole genome shotgun sequence.